ACUCACUGAUCCGUGGGGGAGCAACAACACAGCACAGAGAGUCAGCUCUACAGCUCAGAUAAGUGAGGGAUAGGGGGGAAAGGCAGCAGGGACACAUGGGGACACUGAGACACUAGGGAACACUGAGACACUAGGGGACAUAUGGGGACACAGACACAAGGUGACACAUACACUAGGAGACACAUGGGGACAAAGACACUAGGGGACACAGACACUGGGAGACCUGGAAACACUGG